rnacentral:rRNA from 1 species
UACGUAGGGUGCAAGCGUUGUCCGGAAUUAUUGGGCGUAAAGAGCUCGUAGGCGGUCUGUCGCGUCGGCUGUGAAAACCCGGAGCUCAACUCCGGGCCUGCAGUCGAUACGGGCAGACUGGAGUUCGGCAGGGGAGACUGGAAUUCCUGGUGUAGCGGUGAAAUGCGCAGAUAUCGGGAAGAACACCCGUGGCGAAGGCGGCUCUCUGGGACGGUACUGACGCUGAGACGCGAAGGCGUGGGGAGCAAACAGGG